UUAUAGCAGUGUGAGAGCGGACUAAAACGGGGACUGAACUCAAUCAGUAGCCAAAUGCAGGUUUCUUUGAGGAAAGCUGUAAAAUAAAUGAUACUUAGGAGCUAACCAGCAGACAAGGGAGGCAGUAGUAGGUUUGAAGACCUAGGAGACAUGAAGAGCAUGGUGCAGUGGGGUGACUGACGUUUUGUAUGGUGGGAGAAACAGAGUGGAAUGAGAUUGCAUUAAUUGCUGGAUGAAAGGUCAGCAGCUUUAAGGCAGUUGUCUCUCAAGAGGACUUGAUCUCUUGCCUGUGACCUGCCCCACAUGUUUCUUCUGCACAUCCUGACUCCCAGGCCUGCACAGGGGACUUCUGCACAGGCCUGACUUCCAGGCCUGAUAUUUUCUGACAAAGUAAUGGGGGCAAUUAUACUUAUAUUCCAGAUAGCGAAAAUGAGAUCUCAGAGAGGGUUCAGCAGCCAGAGUCCUAUCCUGUACUUCUCUUCACGGUGCAGACAUCCACGAAAGAGUGAGACUGUUUUUGGUUGGAUUGAAGAGCAAAUGUGUGGAAGACACCAAGGGUCUCACUCUGUCACCUAGGCUGCAGUGCAGUGGUACAAUCCAGUUCACUGCAGCCUUGACCUCUUGGACUCAAGCAAUCCUCCUGCCUCAGCCUCCUGAGUAGCUGGGACUACAGGUGCGAGCCACCAGCCUGGCUAAUUUUUAAUUUUUUUUUUUUUUUUUUUUGUAGAGACAGGAUCUCACUAUGUUUCCCAAGUUGGUCUUGAACUUCUGGCCUCAAGCAAUUCUCUUGCCUUGGCCUCCCAAAAUUCUGGAAUUAUAGGCAUGAGUCACCAGAAACGGCCCACUUUAUUUACUUCUGUGAUGCCUAUACAUUGUGUUAUCAAUAAAACUUGAGAUUCUGUAACUGAGACUGGUCUCUGUUUUUAAUUACUUUCUUUUUUUUUUGUAAUUUCAAGGCUACCACUGAGGUUCAGAUUCUGCAUUUUGGGGCAUCAGAACUAGUUUUUUUUUUUUUUAA